ACACACUUGCAAAAGCCCACUGGGGUUCACGACAGAGUGAAGCCUUCACCCUCCUGCAGCCACGGCUUGCUUGCAGAAAGCAUCAGCGCACCUUGGAGGGAAGAACGAUCUCCCAAAUUCUGGUUCGGAGGUUCCCAUACCCAGCAAGCAGAGCCAGGCUGAAGGGAACAGUAUCUUUCUCUCCCUCACCCCAGCGUUCCCUAAGGACAGAAUGCAAGCUUCCUGCAGCCAGUGAAGCCCACAAACGUAUCCUCAGGGCCCAGCACAAGGACUGGCACACAAGGACCCCGACCGUGACUUGCUGAACGAUACUCAUGCUGAGGGAAGCCAGCUUCCAUGUUGUAAGGAUGCUGAAGCAGCACUGUGGAGAUCCAUGUGGCAAGGAGCCGAGGCCUCUGCCAGCAGCCAGCGCCAGUCUGCCAGCGAGAUGAGCAAGCCGUCUUGCAGCCAGUUCAACGAAUUGUUAUCUCUGGACCACUGGGCUCACAUCGUGAACAGCUGCUCCACCCUCUGUCUUUCACCAGCAAGUUUUGCUGGUAACCAAGACCACAUAGGUCUUAUGUAAGCCAUCUUCACAAACUACCAACUAUUAAACUGGUUAAUUCGUCUUUCAGAUCAGAAACAAGAGGCCAGGAGUAAAAAAUGUGCCAAUCAGAGAAGAAUUACCCGGCCACCAAAUUACCAGUCACUCACUCAUCUCAACUCUCCUCCCUGGCUCCUUUACUUUGAAGCUUAGGUCUGCAAUGGUUAUUUUACAUAGAAGAGCAAAAUAUGCUCCCUUCAAAUUUCACUUUUUUUACUAUUUUGAAAUUAAAACCAAUUUUGUUUAGAGACAGGGUUGCACUCUGUCACCCAGGAUGGAGUGCAGUGGCAUGAUCAUAGCUCGCUAUAACCUCAAACUCCUGGGCUCAAGUGAUCCUCCCACCUCAGCCUCCCGAGUAGCUGGUACAGGAGUGUGCCACCAUGCUUGGCUUCACUUUAUUUUGUUGACUUAACUUUUUCCAGAGACAUCUUACAAGAGCCUGUUUUCCAUCCUAAUAGUACGACAUAACUCCAGACAUAGGCUUUAGACGUUCUCAUGCCACCCUAUCUUCAAAACCACAGAGAGUUCAUGAGCCAGUCUUGCCCAUCUCCAAUCAGGGAACUUCUAAAAUAAAAACCUUAGCAAUCUCCUUGGCCCAAAACUUCACCCCAUCUUGGAAGGGAGGGGAGAGAGAAUGUUCUGAUCUAUAUCUGAUGAGGGCGUGUGGUUGGGACCUGAGCAUCCUCCUGGUUGGGCUAGUGAUGGGGAGAGAGGGCUGUUACUGAUGACUCCCUCCCACAGAAUACCAGAAGCAGGCGGGCAGCUCAGGUGUAUGUAAGGAUGUGAGGCCAAGAAACCAGCCCUCACCAAGUUAUCCCUGUAAAUCCUUGUCUCCCCAUGCACCUCUACUUUGAGUCAGAAAUGGAUUCAUUGCAGGCUCAGUUGUUUGUAUUACGUGAAUGAACUGAACGUAACCAAGCACCAAGAGAGCCCUAAAGACACAGUAGACCUCCUGUAGAAGGGCUCUGAUGGACCUUAAAACAUCGCUUCUCCAACUUUAUGGUGCAUACAAAUCACCUGUGCAUGUUAAAAUGCAGACGGUGACUUAACAGGUCUUGGGGGAGGCCAAGUGUCUGCAUUUCCAACAAGUUCCCAGAUGAUGGCCACACUGCUGAUCUGAGGACCACACUUUGAACAGCAAUCCUUAAAACACACAAGGCUGUGGGACCGCACUCCUGAGAAGAGACCUCACUCUUGGAAGGGAUUCUAGGAGGCUGCAUUCAAACCAUCCCAGAGACAGCUCACAAUUUUGUUAGGGACCUGAUACUAAAAAUUACCAAAUCACAAUCGUGUGCUGAGGGCUUACUUUGUGCUUGUCAGAUGACAUUUCAUUUGAUGCUCUCAAUAACCCUGGAAGGGAUUUCAGAGAUGGGGGGGAUUAUGGUGGAGGUUCAGAAUUAAACUGAUUAAAACUGGCCCAGAGUCACACAACUAUGAAGAGGCUGAGUUG
rnacentral:antisense_RNA from 1 species